rnacentral:rRNA from 1 species
GACGAACGCUGGCGGCGUGCUUAACACAUGCAAGUCGAACGGAAAGGCCCUGCUUUUGUGGGGUGCUCGAGUGGCGAACGGGUGAGUAACACGUGAGUAACCUGCCCUUGACUUUGGGAUAACUUCAGGAAACUGGGGCUAAUACCGGAUAGGAGCUCCUGCUGCAUGGUGGGGGUUGGAAAGUUUCGGCGGUUGGGGAUGGACUCGCGGCUUAUCAGCUUGUUGGUGGGGUAGUGGCUUACCAAGGCUUUGACGGGUAGCCGGCCUGAGAGGGUGACCGGCCACAUUGGGACUGAGAUACGGCCCAGACUCCUACGGGAGGCAGCAGUGGGGAAUAUUGCACAAUGGGCGGACGCCUGAUGCAGCAACACCGCGUGCGGGAUGACGGCCUUCGGGUUGUAACCCGCUUUCGCCUGUGACGAAGCGUGAGUGACGGUAAUGGGUAAAGAAGCACCGGCUAACUACGUG